rnacentral:rRNA from 1 species
UACAGGGGGGGCAAGCGUUGUUCGGAAUUACUGGGCGUAAAGGGCUCGUAGGUGGCCAACUAAGUCAGACGUGAAAUCCCUCAGCUUAACUGGGGAACUGCGUCUGAUACUGGAUGGCUUGAGUUUGGGAGAGGGAUGCGGAAUUCCAGGUGUAGCGGUGAAAUGCGUAGAGAUCGGGAAGAACACCAAUGGCGAAAGCACUCUGCUGGGCCGAAACUGACACUGAGAGACGAAAGCUAGGGGAGCGAAUGGG